rnacentral:lncRNA from 1 species
CUUCUCUCAAGUUGAUAAUUUUCCAUAAUUAUGAAACAACAGUCUACAUUCUAGAAUUCUGUCUUGUUCAGUUUCUCUAGAAAAAACAGGCAAUAUCAGCAGUCUUCAGAGGACUUUGAUAUCUACAUUUUCUCAAGCACCCUAAAUGAUCAUUCCUUAAAAUGUAGAACUUAUGUUUGUUUUUCCACUAAGUAUUUUUGAGGGUUGGCAUUAUCUAUACAUUCAGCCAUAGAAUCACCCUUAAAAAUGCAUACAACAGGCUCUUCUGGGGAAUGCAAACAUUCAUUCAGCUGUUCUAGAUUAGCUAGACUUGUUGAUUUGCAAUAGAAGAGGGGUCUGAAAAAAAAAUCCUCUCCACCUCUCCUCCGUUUCUCCUCCUCCCCCCCCCCCCCCCCCCCCCCCCCCAUCAAUACUUGCCUAGGGCAAGAGAAUGUCAACCAGCAGAUCUCAGCUCAGACGUGAAAAUGAAAACCUGGGACUGCUAUGGAUUUUAGUGUUUGUUUGUUUGUUUGUUUUUUCUUUCAGAAGGAUACAGACCAGGAAAUUUCUGAAACACAAACAUAUGUUUGCACACUAACUCUAGUAAUUUUUUUUGAGUAAUUUAUUCACUGAUACAUGCCAGGGCAAGAGUUACAAAUCAGAAGUGUAUCUGCAAGGCAGAUUAUUUAUCUCCAAAGGAAACUCUUGCCAACUGAUCCCAGGCAGAAGAUUGGCUUUGGUUCUGCAAGCAGCUGCUCAUCUUCCCACUUUGCUGGAGAUUGUGUUAUAUAUACUACAUCUUAUUUGCCUAAAAAAAAACAGCAUGACCACAAGUUAACCUUGAAAUAUGUGAACUCUUGGAAAUCUACACAACUCUUACAGCCAACAAAAAAUAAAUCUAGUGAUGAGAUAUUAUUCUAAAGAUAAUGUUUUGUGAUCAGAGUUGACAUACUCGGAGAUCUGAGAUUUGUAGUACUUAGUGCAGAAUUAAUCUUAGCUGAUUCUGUUUUAAAUGUAGUAAGCCUCGUUUGCAAGAGAUAACAGUUACUUACCUCAAUGUUGGUGUAAGUCUUCCUAGGCUCAUGUCAAAGAAAACAAAAGUGAGGAGAAUCAGAAAGAACAUGGAAUCUCAUAAAUGAAGAUUUGAGAAGAAAAAUCCUUAUAUGUAGUUUUACUCCAGAAAGUGGUGGUACUCUGUUUAGACAUGAGAAACUGGCUUCAUAAUUUUAUUUGGGGAAUUAGUUAUGACCUUGACAUGUCAAGGUAAAAUGCCAAUUAUCACAUGCUUCCAAUGUUUUAUUUAGAAGAAUAUUAACCUAUUAAUUUAAUAUAUGUUAGAGCCUGAAUUAUUCUAAAUAAUACAUGAGACAAUCUGCACUUUGUUAAAACAUUCUGAAGUACUCUAAACUACUUGUUGAACAAUUUCAAAAAAUAGAAGCUGAAGAAAACCAAAAGUUGCAUAAUGCCACUUACAGAAGACAUACAGUAUUAGCAAAACUUUAAAAUUGCAAGUUUGACUUAGCCAAAGGGUUUUUAUUUAGUUAGUUCAUUUAUUUACUUAUUACACAGAGGCUGUUCCCUUCCUCUAAUAACAUGAAGCAAAGAUAGAAGACGUUUAGGAAAAUUCACAAACAUUAAAUGUGGACAAUAUUUAGCAGUUGACAAACUAAUAGCUGAUUCACAUGGGCUGGGAUUCGGAUAUUCAAGCAGAAGGGCAAACUACAUUCCUGCUGUGUAAAAAGUCAAUAAUCUACAUAAAGUAAACAUCUCUUUUAGUAUAUAUUAAUAAUAAUACCCUGAUUACCUUCCUAGAUAAUGAAAAACACGUAACUUUUUUUUUGAAACCUCAAGUUCUGUGACUUUUAAGGGACAGCUAGACUCCAUGAGUGACAUUCCUUUCAAUAUGGUCCAUGAAAUAAAUAAAGCAAUAUCUAUGCA